rnacentral:rRNA from 1 species
CCUACGGGAGGCAGCAGUGGGGAAUAUUGCACAAUGGGGGGAACCUUGAUGCAGCAACGCCGCGUGGGUGAAGAAGUACUCCGGUAUGUAAAGCCCUGUCAGCAGGGAAGAAAAUGACGGUACCUGACCAAGAAGCCCCGGCUAACUAUGUGCCAGCAGCCGCGGUAAUACGUAGGGGGCAAGCGUUAUCCGGAUUUACUGGGUGUAAAGGGCGCGUAGACGGGAAGGCAAGUCUGGAGUGAAAGCCCGUGGCGCAACCACGGGACUGCUUUGGAAACUGUGUUGCUGGAGUGCAGGAGGGGUAAGCGGAAUUCCUAGUGUAGCGGUGAAAUGCGUAGAUAUUAGGAGGAACACCGGUGGCGAAGGCGGCUUACUGGACUGUAACUGACGUUGAGGCUCGAAGGCGUGGGGAGCAAACAGGAUUAGAUACCCGAGUAGUC